UUACAGUCAUAUCACGUUGGAAUACCGGUCCCCAUGCGAUCACCGAAGUUAAGCAACGUCGAGCCUGGUCUGUACAUAAAUGGGUGAUCGCUUGG